GCCCGCAUGGCGAAAUUGGCAAACGUUGCGGUCUCAGAAGCCGUUGGUGUAAUUACCUUGGGAGUUCGAGUCUCCCUGCGGGCA
rnacentral:tRNA from 2 species